CAUACAUAGAAACAGGGAUCAGGUAAAUAAACAGAAAACCUUAUAAAAGGUCAACAAACACAGAGCAAAACCACGACUGCCUGUAAGGAUACACUUCAGAUCGGAUCAGGCUGGACCUGAUGAUAUAACAAAGGCUUUAAUUGCAUUAGAAAUCUGUGAGUUUAUGUUAUCUUCAACAGUUUGUCUGUCUUCAAGAGGAAAUUAUUUUACUUCCACUAUGAAAUACUUGAUUCUGGGGCUGAUGCUGAUCGGAUUUGUCUGCGCUAAGGUAAAAACUCUUGUUACAAGCUUGGACUAGAGAUUUUUUUUAAAGUGAAAGGAUUAUUUUUAAGUUAAACAGAUUUUAAAAACAACCUGAUUUCUAUUGUGGAUGUCUAAUUUUGUGAGACAAUGGAAAGAUUUACCAAAUUAACUAUAGGACUAAUUCAUCUUGCUUUAGUAUUAUAUUGCUCUAUGUGAAAACCUCUUUCAUUUAACUUGAGUGUUUGCAUUUUGCAUCUGAGAAUAUUUUUACACUAUGAAAUCAGUGUUAAAUUAAGUGAUCAGCUUCAAAUUCAAUGGCAGUCUCAAAAGUAUCUUUUUGAUCUUUCCUGCCACUCCAGGAGUGGAAGUCAGACCAAAAAAGAAUGGAGAAAGAAGAUAAUUCAACUAUGGUUAACGGCACCAACAACAAACCCGGCCAAAUGGGAAAUGGAUCCAGCUCAGGCUCUGGCUCUGGCUCAAGCUCCGGCUCUGACUCCAGCUCAGGAUCUGGCUCAAGCUCCGGCUCCGACUCCAGCUCAG